CCUACGGGAGGCUGCAGUGGGGAAUAUUGCACAAUGGGGGAAACUCUGAUGCAGCGACGCCGCGUGAGUGAAGAAGUAUUUCGGUAUGUAAAGCUCUAUCAGCAGGAACGAGACAAGACGGUACCUGACUAAGAAGCCCCGGCUAACUACGUGCCAGCAGCCGCGGUAAUACGUAGGGGGCAAGCGUUAUCCGGAAUCACUGGGUGUAAAGGGAGCGUAGACGGCUGUGCAAGCCUGAAGUGAAAGGCGGGGGCCCAACCCCUGGACUGCUUUGGGAACUGUACGGCUGGAGUGCAGGAGAGGUAAGUGGAAUUCCUAGUGUAGCGGUGAAAUGCGUAGAUAUUAGGAGGAACACCAGUGGCGAAGGCGGCUUACUGGACUGUAACUGACGUUGAGGCUCGAAAGCGUGGGGAGCAAACAGGAUUAGAUACCCUGGUAGUC
rnacentral:rRNA from 1 species